rnacentral:lncRNA from 1 species
CCAGCCCCCUGGCCCUACCCAGCCUCCCCCAGCUGUGGUGGCUGUAGCCACCUCCCUGGCAGCUGUUUUCUUGCCCAGACGUCCCAGGAACUCAUCUCUCCUGCUCCCGACAGGCUCAGGCAGCCCUCCUUCCCAGCAGGCAGAAGCACGGGGCCUGCUCCAGACCCAGGAGGUCACCAGCGCGUGUGGGCAGUGGGCAGAGACCUGCGUCAGGUGUGAGGGCCCAGCGUGGACGAGGAAUCCAAGCUCCAGGAGUACAGACUGCUGACGUACUGCUGCACCCUUGGCAUCCGGCACGGCGGCGCCUGGCACCAAGUAGACACUAAAGACUCCAGCGAACAGUGGCAGUGGGCGAUGUGCAGACGACUCUGGAGUCCCACUCACCCAUCAGCGCCUGGCUCCCUAGCAGAUGAAGCUGCUCCAAUUUACUCCCUGCCAGGAUGUUAUAUAACAGCGAUUCCACACGCUGACGUGUACCUAGUAUGGUCUCCCGGGAAGACCACCGCAACGUGGGAGAUUACGGACGUGCGAGAAGGGAUGAACUUGCUGUGUUCAGUGUCCUAAGAUCAAGGUCCUUCACCCUUCUCCACCAGACACAUUUGGACCUCACCGGAGACAUGCAGCUUUGUUAAAGAAAAAGGCAAAAUCUUGAAGACUGAAAAUGAAUUCAUUAAUAAUAAAAGUAGCCAUUU